UACGAAAGGUGCAAGCGUUAAUCGGAAUUACUGGGCGUAAAGCGCACGUAGGCGGCUUGGUAAGUUGGGUGUGAAAGCCCCGGGCUCAACCGUGGAACUGCAUUGAAUACUGCUAAGCUAGAGGAUGGGAGAGGUUAGCGGAAUUUCUUGUGUAGAGGUGAAAUUCGUAGAUAUAGGGAGGAACAUCAGUGGCGAAGGCGGCUAACUGGACCAUUUCUGACGCUGAGGUGCGAAAGCGUGGGGAGCAAACAGG
rnacentral:rRNA from 1 species